AUUGAACGCUGGCGGCAUGCCUUACACAUGCAAGUCGAACGGCAGCACGGGGCAACCUGGUGGCGAGUGGCGAACGGGUGAGUAAUGCAUCGGAACGUACCUUUCAGUGGGGGAUAACGUCGAAAGUUACGCUAAUACCGCAUAUUCUGUGAGCAGGAAAGCAGGGGAUCGCAAGACCUUGCGCUGAUUGAGCGGCCGAUGUCAGAUUAGCUGGUUGGUGAGGUAAGGGCUAACCAAGGCGACGAUCUGUAGCGGGUCUGAGAGGAUGAUCCGCCACACUGGAACUGAGACACGGUCCAGACUCCUACGGGAGGCAGCAGUGGGGAAUUUUGGACAAUGGGGGCAACCCUGAUCCAGCCAUGCCGCGUGAGUGAAGAAGGCCUUCGGGUUGUAAAGCUCUUUCGGCCGGGAAGAAAUCGCACGGGCUAAUACCCUGUGUGGGUGACGGUACCGGAAUAAGAAGCACCGGCUAACUACGUGCCAGCCGCCGGGGUAACAC
rnacentral:rRNA from 1 species